AGAACGCUGAAGACUUUAGCUUGCUAAAGUUGGAAGAGUUGCGAACGGGUGAGUAACGCGUAGGUAACCUGCCUACUAGCGGGGGAUAACUAUUGGAAACGAUAGCUAAUACCGCAUAACAGCAUUUAACCCAUGUUAGAUGCUUGAAAGGAGCAAUUGCUUCACUAGUAGAUGGACCUGCGUUGUAUUAGCUAGUUGGUGAGGUAACGGCUCACCAAGGCGACGAUACAUAGCCGACCUGAGAGGGUGAUCGGCCACACUGGGACUGAGACACGGCCCAGACUCCUACGGGAGGCAGCAGUAGGGAAUCUUCGGCAAUGGGGGCAACCCUGACCGAGCAACGCCGCGUGAGUGAAGAAGGUUUUCGGAUCGUAAAGCUCUGUUGUAAGAGAAGAACGUGUGUGAGAGUGGAAAGUUCACACAGUGACGGUAACUUACCAGAAAGGGACGGCUAACUACGUGCCAGCAGCCGCGGUAAUACGUAGGUCCCGAGCGUUGUCCGGAUUUAUUGGGCGUAAAGCGAGCGCAGGCGGUUUAAUAAGUCUGAAGUUAAAGGCAGUGGCUUAACCAUUGUUCGCUUUGGAAACUGUUAGACUUGAGUGCAGAAGGGGAGAGUGGAAUUCCAUGUGUAGCGGUGAAAUGCGUAGAUAUAUGGAGGAACG
rnacentral:rRNA from 1 species